CCCGCGGGCGCCGUGGAUGGCGUGGCAGGUGAGCGUGCCCGAGCUGGAGGACCGCCUGCAGUGCCCCAUGUGCCUGGAGGUCUUCAAGGAGCCCCUGAUGCUGCAGUGCGGCCACUCCUACUGCAAGGGCUGCCUGGUGGCCCUGUCCCGCCACCUGGCCUCGGAGCUGCGCUGCCCCGUGUGCCGGCGGGAAGUGGACUACAGCAGCUCCCCGCCCAACGUCUCCCUGGCCAAGGUGAUCGAAGCCCUGCAGCUCCCCGGGGAUCCGGAGCCCCAGGUGUGCGUGCACCACCGGAACCCCCUCAGCCUCUUCUGCGAGAAGGACCAGGAGCUCAUCUGCGGCCUCUGUGGCCUGCUGGGCGCCCACCAGCACCACCGGGUCACGCCCGUCUCCACUGUUUACAGCCGCAUGAAGGAGGAGCUAGCAGCCCUCAUCUCCGACCUGAAGCAGGAGCAAAAGAAGGUGGAUGAGCAAAUGGCCAAACUGGUGAACAACAGGACUCGGAUUGUGAACGAGUCCGAUGUUUUCAGCUGGGUGAUCCGGCGUGAGUUCCAGGAGCUCCACCACCUGGUGGAUGAGGAGAAGGCCCGCUGCCUGGAGGGGGUGGAGGGCCACACCCGCGGCCUUGUGGCCUCCCUGGACAUGCAGCUGGAGCAGGCCCGGGGCGCUCGGGAGCGGCUGGUCCAGGCCGCGAGUGUGCUGGAGCAGUUUGGCAAUGAGAGUCACCAUGAGUUCAUCCGGAAGUACCACACCAUGGCCUCCAGCCCAGAGCUCCAGCAGGCCCGACUCUCAGAAGGUGCCUUCAGCCCCAUCUCCUUCAAGCCAGGCCUGCACCAGGCUGACAUCAAGCUGACGGUGUGGAAAAGGCUUUUCCGAAAGGUUCUGCCAGCCCCGGAGUCCCUCAAGCUGGACCCGGCCACGGCCCACCCGCUCCUGGAGCUCUCCAAGGGCAACACGGUGGUGCAGUGUGGGCUCCUGGCCCGGCGGCGCGCCAGCCAGCCCGAGCGCUUCGACUACAGCACAUGUGUCCUGGCCAGCAGGGGCUUCUCCUGUGGCCGCCACUACUGGGAGGUGGCAGUGGGCAGCAAGAGCGACUGGCGCCUGGGGGUCAUUAAGGGCACGGCCAGCCGCAAGGGCAAGCUGAGCAAGUCCCCGGAGCACGGCGUGUGGCUCAUCGGCCUGAAGGAGGGCCGCGUGUACGAGGCCUUCAGCUGCCCCCGGGUGCCCCUGCCCGUGGCGGGCCACCCCCACCGCAUCGGCGUCUACCUGCACUAUGAGCAGGGGGAGCUCACCUUCUUCGACGCCGACCGCCCGGACGACCUGCGGCCACUCUACUCGUUCCAGGCCGACUUCCAGGGCAAGCUGUACCCCAUCCUGGACACGUGCUGGCAUGAGAGGGGCAGCAACUCCCUGCCCAUGGUGCUGCCGCCACCCAGUGGGCCCGGCCAGCUCUCCCCACUGCAGCCCACCAAGCUGUAGGGCUGCCUUUCCGCUUGCCAUGGGGGCUUGAGGGGUCCUGCUGACUCUGGCAGGUUCUUUACCACUCAUGCCACCUGAGAAGACCAGCCUUCCCUCAGCCCCUGCUAACCAUGUUUGCUGCUUACUCUUCCUCCUGAGGGUGGAAACACUCCCACACAUAAUUCCCCCAUCACUAUGAACUUUAAGGAUAAUAAAACAGACGUUAUUUCUUCCUUGUCAAAUGAUUUGCAAUGAUCAGUUGCUGCCCAUGCACGCUGUUUUAUGCUCAGGUCUUUAAAAGCAGCUCCAGCCUCUGGUGGGGCCGCAUCUCACAGCCCUUUGAUUUCCAUACCAUCCUUUCUGGCGUGGGCAACAAGGCCUCCGUGAGCUGCUGCCUUUGGCUAAUCUUCCUCCUGCCAUCUGUGUGGAUUCUUAGCCACUGGACCAUCAGGGAAGUCCUGCUUGUUGUGUCUCGAUUAGCUGCAUCUGUCGGGCGUUGGCCUUGGUUACUGCAUGCGUGAUGACUUCCAGACUUGGUGUUCGGUUGUGUAGCUCUUCCUUCAAUUCCAUGACUGUACCUCUGCUUUCCAUCCUGCGUGGCCCAGGGGGCUGGCCUCGCUGGAAUGCACAUCAUUCUGGCUUCCUGUUGAGUUCAGCUGAUGGGAGGGGCUGGCAGGAGAUCCCAGGGCAGGAGAAGAGAGUUGGAGGUACUUAUUUUCUUGUUUUUCUGCCUACUGGGCUAUGCAUGCAGGGUCCCCCCUCUCUUUUCAACUCUUUCUAUAUUCCUGGUGGUAAAGAGCACUGUCGCCAGCCCUGAAUUCUGCACCAUCACCCGUAGACCCCCUCACCUCUGACCGUUCUUUUUAGAAAGAGUCCCUUCUUUAAACUCUCCUCAGCGACUCCCUUGUGUGUACCACCCUGCCUUCAGCCAGGCCAUGAAGGACAUGAUGGCAUACUUCUGCACCCAUUUAAUAAAUCCUCUCUUUCAACUGGCUAACCAGAGUAAGUGUUUAUGCUUGCAACAGAAAGAUCUUAACUGAUACACAUCUAAUAUGCAAGAGACGGAGGAAAGAACAGUUAAUUCUUCACUUGGAAUUGGCAUUUAAACUGAAAGAAGUGGAACGCUGGCAGAGGAGAAGAGCCUGCAGGGAUCUAGGUUCAAAAGGGAUGCUGCUGCAGGGGGCCCACUUCCCUGGCGGUCCAGGGGUUAAGACUCUGCCUUCCAAUACAGGGUGCGAGGGUUCAAUCCCUGAUCUAGGAAAGAAGAUCCCACAUGCCAUGCAGUGCAGCCAACAAAACAAAAUGGGAUGCUGCAGCUGGCACUGGAGACGAGGGUAGGGGCUGGUUGGGGUGGAGGGUGUGCAUCUAUGCUACUUUAGUGUAUGUUAACUUUGUCCCACACUAACAACACUGUGGAAGUGGGUGAGUCUGCCCCGGGGGAGAAAAUAUCAGACCAAUGGAAAGGAGGUCAGAGAAUGGAACACCAGAACCUAGCGGAGCAACUUAGGCAGGGUGGCCAAGGAAACUUAGACCUGGGCAGAGAGAUGGGAGGGAAUGCCAGCAGAGGAGGUCAUAGAAGGCAAAGCUUUCCAACAAAGAAGGUGUGUUCAACAGUGCCAUGAAACCCUAGAUUCAGAGUCUGUGCUCCCACUGCAGGGGGUGCAGGUUGGAGCCCUGGUCAGGGAACUAAG